UACAGAGGGUGCGAGCGUUGUCCGGAAUCACUGGGCGUAAAGGGCGCGUAGGCGGUGACUUAAGCGUGUGGUGAAAGCUCGGGGCUCAACCCCGAGUCGGCCGUGCGAACUGGGUCACUGGAGCAGAUCAGAGGCAGGCGGAAUUCCGGGUGUAGCGGUGGAAUGCGUAGAGAGUCCGGGAAGAACGACCGGUGGCGAAGGCGGCCUGCUGGGAUCUUGCUGACGCUGAGGCGCGACAGCGUGGGGAGCAAACAGG
rnacentral:rRNA from 1 species